GGACAGUCAUCGCCGAGUCCCCGUACGGCGCGAGCCAGGGGAGCCGGGGACCCACAUGAAGUCCCUGGGGUGAAUCGGGCGCCCGCGCGUGUCGCGAGGGGGCCCGUAGGAGACCUUCCUGCUCCGAACCCGUCAGCUAACCCGGUAGGCGAGAGGGAAGGAAAGG
rnacentral:sRNA from 2 species